AAAAUGAAAAAUUUACCUUGUUAUGAAUAGCCACUCCCUCCAACACCGAAACGGUGUCGUUUUGUAAUCAAAAGGGGUUUUGGGUGAGUCAAAACGGUGCCAUUUUUAACCUUUGGACCCUCCCUCUUUCUUCACUCACCAUUCCUCUCCCUUUCUCCUUCUCGCCCGAUCCUCACUGUCGCUGGCACUGCGUCACUUGCAGAUCUGGUGCCGCGCCAGCUGCCGCUCCUCUCUCUCUGGUGCCGCGCCAGCCGCCGCUCCACUCUCUCUUC
rnacentral:lncRNA from 1 species